GGAUGAGGAACCAGGCAGAGGAGAUGAGGGGGUGGGCGGGAGGUCUCCUUCGGCUCUGGUGCCAGGGGAGACUUCUCCAAGGAAACGCUGUGCCAGCUCACCUAUGAGAAGCCAGCCCUCUCAACACCCGGGAAGAGCAGUCAAGGUGGGGGGCCGGGGGGUCACGUACAGAAGCCCUAGGGCAGGACAGGCCUGGCUCAUUCCCGGACGUGGCCGACGCCGCUGCGGAGUUCCUGGCACAAGGGGGGAGCAAAGGAUGACAGACACACCUGCCCGGAGAUGAGGGAUGUGCCAGGCGGCCGGUCCCUGGAGGCAUCCCAUGCUGCUGGGCUUCUUCAUGUCCCGCUUGGGUUCCAUCAGGUUCUAUUUGAAGAUUUUUUAAA
rnacentral:lncRNA from 1 species